rnacentral:rRNA from 1 species
GACGAACGCUGGCGGCGUGCCUAAUACAUGCAAGUAGAACGCUGAAGGAGGAGCUUGCUUCUCUGGAUGAGUUGCGAACGGGUGAGUAACGCGUAGGUAACCUGCCUGGUAGCGGGGGAUAACUAUUGGAAACGAUAGCUAAUACCGCAUAAUAUUGACUAUUGCAUGAUAGUCAGUUGAAAGGUGCAACUGCACCACUACCAGAUGGACCUGCGUUGUAUUAGCUAGUUGGUGGGGUAACGGCUCACCAAGGCGACGAUACAUAGCCGACCUGAGAGGGUGAUCGGCCACACUGGGACUGAGACACGGCCCAGACUCCUACGGGAGGCAGCAGUAGGGAAUCUUCGGCAAUGGACGGAAGUCUGACCGAGCAACGCCGCGUGAGUGAAGAAGGUUUUCGGAUCGUAAAGCUCUGUUGUAAGAGAAGAACGAGUGUGAGAGUGGAAAGCUCACACUGUGGCGGUAUCUUACCAGAAAGGGACGGCUAACUACGUG